rnacentral:rRNA from 1 species
ACCAAAUAGAUACCCCGGUAGUCCACGCCCUAAACGAUGCGAACUGGAUGUUGGGUACAUUACGGUACUCAGUGUCGAAAGCUAAACGCGUUAAGUUCGCCGCCUGGGGAGUACGGUCGCAAGACUGAAACUCAAAGGAAUUGACGGGGGCCCGCACAAGCGGUGGAGUAUGUGGUUUAAUUACGAUGCAACGCGAAGAACCUUACCUGGCCUUGACAUCUGUCGAAUCCUGCAGAGAUGCGGGAGGUGCCGCAAGGAACGACAAGACAGGUGCUGCAUGGCUGUCGUCAGCUCGUGUCGUGAGAUGUUGGGUUAAGUCCCGCAACGAGCGCAACCCUUGUCCCU